UAUGUGUUGUUGGGUAGGGGAGCGUUCUGUAAGCCGUUGAAGGUGUGCUGUGAGGCAUGCUGGAGGUAUCAGAAGUGCGAAUGCUGACAUAAGUAACGAUAAAGCGGGUGAAAAGCCCGCUCGCCGGAAGACCAAGGGUUCCUGUCCAACGUUAAUCGGGGCAGGGUGAGUCGACCCCUAAGGCGAGGCCGAAAGGCGUAGUCGAUGGGAAACAGGUUAAUAUUCCUGUACUUGGUGUUACUGCGAAGGGGGGACGGAGAAGGCUAUGUCAGCCGGGCGACGGUUGUCCCGGUUUAAGCAUGUAGGCGGAGGUUCCAGGUAAAUCCGGUACCUUUUAACGCUGAGGUGUGAUGACGAGGCACUACGGUGCUGAAGUGAUAAAUGCCCUGCUUCCAGGAAAAGCCUCUAAGCAUCAGGUAACACGAAAUCGUACCCCAAACCGACACAGGUGGUCAGGUAGAGAAUACCAAGGCGCUUGAGAGAACUCGGGUGAAGGAACUAGGCAAAAUGGUGCCGUAACUUCGGGAGAAGGCACGCUGAU
rnacentral:rRNA from 1 species